rnacentral:rRNA from 1 species
AACAAACGCUGGCGGCGUGCCUAAUACAUGCAAGUCGAACGAGGAAAGCUUUCGGGUGAGUACUAGUGGCGCACGGGUGAGGAAUAUAUGGGUAAUCUGCCCUCGAGUUGGGGAUAACCAGUCGAAAGACUGGCUAAUACCGAAUAAGACCACAGGAUCUGCGGAUCUAGGGGUUAAAGGUUUUUCGCUUGAGGAUGAGCCCAUACGGGAUUAGCUAGUUGGCGAGGUAAUGGCUCACCAAGGCUACGAUCCCUAGCUGGUCUUAGAGGAUGAUCAGUCACACUGGAACUGAGACACGGUCCAGACUCCUACGGGAGGCAGCAGUAGGGAAUAUUGCACAAUGGGGAAACCCUGAUGCAGCGACGCCGCGUGAGUGAUGAAGGCCUUCGGGUCGUAAAGCUCUGUCGUAUGGGACUAGCACAAUGAAGGUACCAUGCAAGAAAGGAUCGGCUAACUUCGUGCCAGCAGCCGCAGUAA